ACUCACCUUCCAGGAAGCGUGGAUUCCUGGAAGUGAGGGGAACCGCCGUCAUUUCGCAGGCAGCGGCAGCGGCACGGUGCUCCAUGACACAUCUUGGGCAAAAUCAGCCUUUAGCUGCCUACAACUGGUCUAAGUGCCAAGUUGGUAGCCUUGGGAGUGAGACAGGAUUGAGAUUCUGCUGUUCCAGAUCCUGGUAUUCCGAGAGCCAGGAGUGCAUCAGGAGAUGUACUUCACUGUUUGCUCAAGUCUCCAGUGAUUAUUAACAAGACAGAACUUCCCACCUGCCUGGGAUGGAGCGGUUCAGGUACUACAAGUAGACCAAACCCAGAGCAUCAUCCUCUCCUGCCUGCGCCUUCCUGAACUGAAUGAAAUCUGAGCAAAAAUAUGUUGGAACCACAUAGCCGGCUCUGCUCUUUAUCAGGACUAUGCAUAACUGCAGAAGGGUAAGGGGCAAAGGCUUGAGGGAAAAGGUGAAAACAGGCCUUGUCUGCAACCUGACUAUAUGCCCCUUUCCAGGAACCAGGCCUUGACAUCGGGCAAAUGGCAGCUCUGAAAUGAUCUUUCGGGUCCAUGUAGUGCCCUUUGAAGGAAACCCACCAAUCUUUUCUCUGCUUAUGUGUCUGUAUUUACAGCAGAAAGAUCUGACUCAACAUUCCCAUAGUGACACAACAAGAUUGGCAGCAUCUCUGCAGUGCCAGGAUGCAGGUUCGAUCC